rnacentral:rRNA from 1 species
AGUGAACGCUGGCGGUAGGCCUAACACAUGCAAGUCGAACGGCAGCACAGUAAGAGCUUGCUCUUACGGGUGGCGAGUGGCGGACGGGUGAGGAAUACAUCGGAAUCUACUUUUUCGUGGGGGAUAACGUAGGGAAACUUACGCUAAUACCGCAUACGACCUACGGGUGAAAGCAGGGGAUCUUCGGACCUUGCGCGAUUGAAUGAGCCGAUGUCGGAUUAGCUAGUUGGCGGGGUAAAGGCCCACCAAGGCGACGAUCCGUAGCUGGUCUGAGAGGAUGAUCAGCCACACUGGAACUGAGACACGGUCCAGACUCCUACGGGAGGCAGCAGUGGGGAAUAUUGGACAAUGGGCGCAAGCCUGAUCCAGCCAUACCGCGUGGGUGAAGAAGGCCUUCGGGUUGUAAAGCCCUUUUGUUGGGAAAGAAAAGCAGCAGGUUAAUACCCCGCUGUUCUGACGGUACCCAAAGAAUAGGCACCGGCCAACUUCGUG